UACGAAGGGGGCAAGCGUUGUUCGGAAUUACUGGGCGUAAAGGGCGCGUAGGCGGCCUGCUAAGUCAGACGUGAAAUCCCCCGGCUUAACCUGGGAACUGCGUCUGAUACUGGAAGGCUUGAGGAUGGGAGAGGGAUGUAGAAUUCCAGGUGUAGCGGUGAAAUGCGUAGAUAUCUGGAGGAAUACCGGUGGCGAAGGCGGCAUCCUGGACCAUUACUGACGCUGAGGCGCGAAAAGCUAGGGGAGCAAACGGG
rnacentral:rRNA from 1 species